UGCGUAGGCGGUCCUGCAAGUUGGGUGUGAAAUCCCUCGGCUCAACCGAGGAAUUGCGCUCAAAACUGCCGGACUUGAGGGAGACAGAGGCGAGCGGAACUUGCGGUGGAGCGGUGAAAUGCGUUGAUAUCGCAAGGAACACCUGUGGCGAAAGCGGCUCGCUGGGUCUCUUCUGACGCUCAUGCACGAAAGCUAGGGGAGCGAACAGGAUUAGAUACCCUGGUAGUC
rnacentral:rRNA from 1 species